AACAAUUGGAAAUUUUUACUUAAUGAAUUUGAUUCUUUUGUUUGCAUAGGAAUAUCAUAGAAUUAAUUAAAUUGAAUAAUUUUAUUUGGUCACUUAGAAAAGGGAUUAUAUAUACUUUGAAUUCCAGUUAACACUCGAGUGGAUUUAAUAAUUGGAGAAAUUGGGUAAUUGAUUUAUAUUGCAUAAUUGGGGAUAUUGUAGUCUUAAGCCUUUAUCAUCUGAAUCAAAUCUUUGUGUUAAAAUUAGUUUUAGUUAAUUUAAUUUAGUUUUAAUUGAAAAUUCACAAAAUUUUGGUUAUUUAAAUAAAAUUGGAUUGAUAUAAAACUAG
rnacentral:lncRNA from 1 species